rnacentral:misc_RNA from 1 species
AUCAUCAUGAUCAUGAUGGGGUUGUGCACAUGGUUUUGACAUAGUUUUUUUUUUACAAUGAUUUAAACGAUGUAAAAAAAAAGGUGUCGUACUUGUCAAUUAUGGGGAAAACAAGACAUAAAAAGUUUAAAAUUGACAGACCUAAACCAACGGCUUUAAUCAGUGUGAAAGAGGCAGAAAAUGAGUUGGAGCAAGAUAAUAUCUCGUCAAAUGGUGGCAUCGUCCAGUCCUUGAUAGAAAAGCUAAAUGGGCCAUCUGAAGAGGAAAGAGAAUGCAGUUGCACAACAAUAGCUAACCUUGUAUCCCAGCCUAGUGCUGUUAAACUUCUUUUGCAGAACAACAUUGUAAAAAUCUUAGCUCCAGUAAUUUUAGACAAAAACCCUGAGAUUCAAGUCAAAGCUCUUGGGGCACUGAGAAACUUAAGUGUAGACGGUGGGGAGACAGUAUGUCAAGAGAUGGUGAAAAAGGAUGUUCUAACACCACUUGUGGCUUUUCUCAAACAGUAUGGUUGCAAUUGGAUGCCAGACCCACCAACAGGAAAGAAGCACAAAUCUCUAAAUUCUUCUAUUUUUACUGAAGCUGUACAUCUAUUGUGGAAUUUAUGUGAAAGCAGUGAAGAGGCUUUAGAUAUAUUUAACCGAGAGAACCUGUUUCCCAUUGUGUGUGCAGGCUUACAGUACAGUGUUUAUGGGGCAGAACUUGCCAUCACUGCUGCUAAUUGUCUCUACACCAUAACUGAAGAUAAUGCUCCCAUCAUAAAGAUCUGUGAAGACCCAGAUGUUAUCCAACUGCUGAAUUCUUUGGUUUCACUUAAUAGUGACUCCUCUGAUCUAGUCCUUCUGAAAACUCUUGCAACAGGAAUCCUGGUGAAUGUACGCUGUGGAAGUGGUAGAUGUGAGGGUGGAAGUGUGAUCACUUCAUUACUGAAGGCAGUCGCUGACGUUUUAACCUUGGAUGCCUUGGAUGCUGCCCCCAAAUCUGCUUCUGAUGACAGCAGCUCACAAAACGGAGAUGAUGACAUGGUUACAGAAGGGGAAGAAGAGGGCAAAGCCCAUACUAUAAAUAUUGGUCAGGAAGAGUUGGAGGAAACAUUUAGGGAUGUUCAAAAUGUGUUAACUGCUCAGCAAAUAGCAAUGGAAAUAGUAGCCAAUAUAUGCUGUACAGAUGCCCUAAUUGUAUGCAGGGAUAAAACUGAGAUUUGAGAAAGGAGUUUGAUGGACAUUGAUUCCUUUGAAAAUGUGCUAACUGAAGUUCUCAAAGGAUCAAUCUCUACAUACAGAUGAUGGAUGGGAAGAUAUGGGAAAUAGUGAAUCCAGUAGCUGUGAGGAAGAAACAGCAGAAGAAGAGGAGGACAUGGAUCAGGAGACCAUUGAUAUGUUUUCUUCCCUCUGUGUGUCAACUGAAGUUCAACAAGCUGUCAAAGGAUUUUGUGUGUUUGAAAAGGUGUGUUCGAAGUGUUCCCCUGUGAACUGCUGUGGUCUUCCCAGUAGUGUUUCAAAAAGCUUUGUGAAUUUGCAAGCUCAUGCUCUGCUGUGUAUGAACAAUAUGGUGAAUUGUAUGGACCUGGAUUUGUUAGGUGGAGCAGACAGACUACACCAAGUAUGGAGCAGCCUAGCCUCCCUGUUGGCAAACAUUGAUAAGACUGAUGAGAUGUUGUUGGAGGCUACAACCAGUGCACUGCGGGCAGUGAUACAGAAGCUCUCUAGUGCUGGGUCCCAGAAGCUGCUAGAGAUUUCAGUAUCUGACCUUCAGUUCCUGUUCAGCAUUGGUCGCUCUUGUCAGCUGGCUGAUGUGAGGGUCAACAUUGUACGAAUCGUAGCCAUAGUGGGUGUAGUGUUCAGCAAGCAAGCUGAUUUACCCAAUGUUGACACCCUGAAGAAUAUUGGGAUUUUUUUGCUGACUAUUGUCUGUGGAGACAAGGAUUUAUGGGUUGUUUCCGAGGCUUUGGAUAGCUUGUUUGAUGUGUUCGGAGAGGAUCAUCUAGACUCCAUCGACCAUGACAUUGGUCUAACAGACCGACUGUCAAAAUUCGUGCCUGAAAUGAAAUCUAGAGUAAACCUGAUAAAGAGAAAACCAGAUGAGCACUACCCUGUGAUUUCUACAGCUAAAACUAACCUGAUUCGAUUUGUGAAAUAUAAACUCUCUAAGAAAAAGUCAUAGACUAUUUUUAUUGCAUGUAUGUUUCAUAUUGGAUUGUUGACAUUUUAUGAAAUUUUACUGUCUUCAAGUAUUGAUAUUAGUUAUAUGCAAUACAAAAGUUGUGUAUGGUUUAUGAAGUGAUACAGGUGCUGUAUAAAGCUAUUGUUUUAAUAAAUUACCUAU